GAUGAACGCUGGCGGCGUGCCUAAUACAUGCAAGUCGAGCGAACAGAUGAGGAGCUUGCUCCUCUGACGUUAGCGGCGGACGGGUGAGUAACACGUGGAUAACCUACCUAUAAGACUGGGAUAACUUCGGGAAACCGGAGCUAAUACCGGAUAAUAUAUUGAACCGCAUGGUUCAAUAGUGAAAGACGGUUUUGCUGUCACUUAUAGAUGGAUCCGUGCCGCAUUAGCUAGUUGGUAAGGUAACGGCUUACCAAGGCAACGAUGCGUAGCCGACCUGAGAGGGUGAUCGGCCACACUGGAACUGAGACACGGUCCAGACUCCUACGGGAGGCAGCAGUAGGGAAUCUUCCGCAAUGGGCGAAAGCUUGACGGAGCAACGCCGCGUGAGUGAUGAAGGUCUUCGGAUCGUAAAACUCUGUUAUUAGGGAAGAACAAAUGUGUAAGUAACUAUGCACGUCUUGACGGUACCUAAUCAGAAAGCCACGGCUAACUACGUG
rnacentral:rRNA from 1 species